AACGGGUGGAGCCUGCGGUUUAAUUGGACUCAACGCCGGAAAACUCACCGGGGGCGACAGCAAUAUGUAGGUCAAGCUAAAGACUUUACCAGAAUCGCUGAGAGGAGGUGCAUGGCCGUCGUCAGUUCGUACUGUGAAGCAUCCUGUUAAGUCAGGCAACGAGCGAGACCCGUGCCCACUGUUGCCAGCAUGUCCUUCGGGAUGAUGGGUACUCUGUGGGGACCGCCGAUGCUAAAUCGGAGGAAGGUGCGGGCUACGGUAGGUCAGUAUGCCCCGAAUCUCCCGGGUUACACGCGGGCUACAAUGACUGGGACAAUGGGCUCCUACCCCGAAAGGGGAUGGUAAUCUCAUAAACCCAGCCUUAGUUCGGAUCGAGGGCUGUAACCCGCCCUCGUGAAGCUGGAAUCCGUAGUAAUCGCGUUUCAACAGAACGCGGUGAAUACGUCCCUGCUCCUU
rnacentral:rRNA from 1 species